rnacentral:misc_RNA from 1 species
AAACCCUAACACUCUUAUAAACCGAUUCGCCAAAAUGUAUCUACAAUAUAUUGAUAAUGUAAUAUCUAUAUAUUCAAACAAUCGUCGUGUUGGUCGGAUGUUUUCUAGAGUUCCUCUGAGCACUUCAUUGGAGAUACAAUUUUUUAUAAAAUAGUUUUCUACUGAAGUGUUUGGGGGAACUCCCGGGCUGAUUCGGUAUUUUAAAUUCAGUAGACUAGCUAGCUG